AGGCUGAAGUAUGGCAACACUGUGCUGUUUGAGAGUAAACGGAGAAACAAGUUGCAAUUGAAAAUGUUAUCUUUUCCAUUAUUGGAAGCCUUGGCCACUUCAAGCAAGUUGAAGGCAGAACACUCCAAGCAUGAUGGAAUCCUUUCUCUUGUCCGGCAGCAUUCGUGGAUGCUGGCGAGAUGACCAUCAAGGCUGAAGUAUGGCAACACUGUGCUGUUUGAGAGUAAACGGAGAAGUAUGUAUCAAAUUCAGUCUAUAAAUGCUGUAAUCUGUGGGACAUUUUAAGUGAAACUUUUUUGUGUAUCAAGCUUUUAAGCGGAGUUCCACCCAAAAAUGGAACUUCUGCUUUAAGUGCACCCCUUGACAUGCCACAUUUGGAAAAUUGGGAAACUGUCAACAGGGGCCCGGAAGUGAUGUCUCAUGUCAUUUCUGGGUCAGCAGCAGGGAGGAGGGGGAGAGCAGAUGUGCACCUAUGCCAGUCUCAAACCUGCAGAUCAGCAAGCUGAGCCCGGGAUACUUGGGGUAGGUGUACGGG